rnacentral:tRNA from 1 species
AAGGGCUUAGCUUAAUUAAAGCGAUUGGUUUGCGUUCAGUAGAUGUGAGAUAUACUCUUGCAGUCCUUA